rnacentral:rRNA from 1 species
UACGGGGGGGGGCAAGCGUUGUUCGGAAUUACUGGGCGUAAAGGGCUCGUAGGUGGCCAACUAAGUCAUACGUGAAAUCCCUCGGCUUAACCGGGGAACUGCGUCUGAUACUGGAUGGCUUGAGGUUGGGAGAGGGAUGCGGAAUUCCAGGUGUGCGGUGAAAUGGCGUAGAUAUCUGGAGGAACACCGGUGGCGAAGGCGGCAUCCUGGACCAAUUCUGACACUGAGGAGCGAAAGCCAGGGGAGCAAACGGGG